rnacentral:lncRNA from 1 species
GCUUGUGCGAGGUCACAGUAGCAGUAGCAGUAACAGCGCAUUUUCCUUCCAUCGGUAAACUGACUACCCCUAAAGACCGCAUGCAAGGAGACAGACCGAGACGGGGGACAUAGACGUGUCGGAAUCCUGCAGUUCGUCAGUGACAUCGUCGAAAACAAGAAAGUGAAAAAGUGAAAGUGAAAGUGGAAGUGAACAGAUAUGAACUCGACUUGAUAUGACUUGUAGUGCAUGAACAAGAGGAAUUUUGGGAAACUUUGUUUUUGUAGUGUGUUGUUUUUGUAGUGUGUGUAUAAUUUAUAUUUAAGUUUGAAAAUAAAUGGUUAAAGGUU